rnacentral:lncRNA from 1 species
CGGCCCUCCGAGAGGCAGGCUACGGAGAGCUAAGUCCCACCCGCGGGCGGCUUUCGAACCCGGCAGCGUUAGGGGGCGGCCCCGCCUGGCGCAUAGUCGCGAAUGAGCGAAGAGCUGGGAAUGCGGCCGGCGCCGAGCACGUGUGACCUGACUCGGCUCCGCCUAGAGGAAAGGAGCCCCUUAAGACUUUGAGGCUGAGAUGAGCGGCUUCUUUCAGACCACACUUCUCCGGGGCUGCUCGUCACCGUCGCUCAAAGGCCUUGAGUUUCAGGUCAACGCGGAAUCCCAAAACUGGGGCCGGAGGAGUCCUGAACCCGGGGAUGCAGAGAGCCGCGCGGGGUCAGAGACCCGAGGCGAAGGAGGGCGGCGGCGAUGGGCUCUGGGAACGCCACCAGAUGACACGCCGGCGAUGAGGCCAUUUUCCCCUUAAUUGCAUGGCCGGUGGAUGCGCGGCGGCCGGGAGGCUCCAAAGUGGCAGCCAGGACGCAGCCCGGACGCCGCUGGUGGGUUUUGUGGUGCCUUUUUUGUUGUUUUUUAAGUCCUCCGUUGGAAACGGCUCAAUAAAAG